CGUGCUUGGGCGAGAGUAG
rnacentral:snRNA from 1 species